AGAGUUUGAUCCUGGCUCAGGAUGAACGCUGGCGGCGUGCUUAACACAUGCAAGUCGAACGGGGUACCCUUGAAGGAGGCUUCGGCCAACAGAUAGGAAUACCUAGUGGCGGACGGGUGAGUAACGCGUGAGGAACCUGCCUUGGAGUGGGGAAUAACAGUUAGAAAUAGCUGCUAAUACCGCAUAAUGCAAUGGAGUCGCAUGGCUCUGUUGCCAAAGAUUUAUCGCUCUGAGAUGGCCUCGCGUCUGAUUAGAUAGUUGGCGGGGUAACGGCCCACCAAGUCGACGAUCAGUAGCCGGACUGAGAGGUUGGCCGGCCACAUUGGGACUGAGACACGGCCCAGACUCCUACGGGAGGCAGCAGUGGGGAAUAUUGGGCAAUGGGCGCAAGCCUGACCCAGCAACGCCGCGUGAAGGAAGAAGGCCCUCGGGUUGUAAACUUCUUUUAACAGGGACGAAGAAAGUGACGGUACCUGUUGAAUAAGCCACGGCUAACUACGUG
rnacentral:rRNA from 1 species